rnacentral:rRNA from 1 species
AUUGAACGCUAGCGGGAUGCUUUACACAUGCAAGUCGAACGAGUGGCGGACGGGUGAGUAAUAUAUCGGAAAGUGCCCAAUAGCGGGGGAUAACUACUCGAAAGAGUAGCUAAUACCGCAUACUAUCGGAGUGGCCGAUAUCGGAUUAGAUAGUUGGUGGGGUAAAGGCUCACCAAGGCAACGAUCCCUAGCUGGUUGGAGAGGAUGACCAGCCACACUGGAACUGAGACACGGUCCAGACUCCUACGGGAGGCAGCAGUGGGGAAUAUUGCACAAUGGGCGCAAGCCUGAUGCAGCCAUGCCGCGUGUAUGAAGAAGGCCUUCGGGUUGUAAAGUACUUUUAGCGAGGAGGCGGUACCCGCAGAAUAAGCACCGGCUAACUCCGUGCCAGCAGCCGCGGUAAUUC